rnacentral:rRNA from 1 species
UACAGAGGUCUCAAGCGUUGUUCGGAUUCAUUGGGCGUAAAGGGUGCGUAGGUGGCGCCGUAAGUCGGGUGUGAAAUUUCGGAGCUUAACUCCGAAACUGCAUUCGAUACUGCGGUGCUUGAGGACUGGAGAGGAGACUGGAAUUCAUGGUGUAGCAGUGAAAUGCGUAGAGAUCAUGAGGAAGACCAGUAGGCGAAGGCGGGUCUCUGGACAGUUCCUGACACUGAGGCACGAAGGCCAGGGGAGCAAAACGGG